rnacentral:tRNA from 1 species
GGAGUGUAGCUCAGUGGUAGAGGAUGUGCUCAGUAUGUGCAAGGCCCUGGGUUCAAUCCCCAACACACACA